UCUACGGUUGAAAGAGAGAUAUGUAAAUUCUGGAUCUUAAAAUGCUAAAUUGCCCUUAAAUUAUGGUCACGUGUCUGCAUAGGAGAACAAAUCGGAACUCACCAUAGCUCUGGCCUCAUGGUCCAACUGCAGGCAACAAGCCCCACUUCUUCAUUCAGGUAUCUCUGAGGCUCCACGAAGUGAAAUGAAUAUCAAUGAAAGAAAGGAAAAUAAAGAUUUUUGAAGAUUCAUAGAAAAAAAUUGCAUUUCCCAGAGUCACCAGUCCUGACGGUGACCGUGCUCUUGCAGCCACGUUUGUGCAGAGAGGAGAUCCUAGAGCACUGCCCACUUCCUCUCUGUGCUCUGAUGCUGUC